CCCUUAGAUGUUCUGGGCCGCACGCGCGCUACACUGAUGCAUGCAACGAGUUCUAUCCUUGGCCGGAAGGCCUGGGUAAUCUGUGAACGUGCAUCGUGAUAGGGAUAGAUUAUUGCAAUUAUUAAUCUUGAACGAGGAAUUCCUAGUAAACGCAAGUCAUCAGCUUGCAUUGAUUACGUCCCUGCCCUUUGUACACACCGCCCGUCGCACCUACCGAUCGAAGGUAAUGAUGAGCCCUCAGGAUUGUGGCCUCGUCGCGUCAGCGUCUUGGCUGCGAGAAUCUGUGCAAAUCCCNANCUUUAUNGGAAGGUGAANUCGUANCA
rnacentral:rRNA from 1 species